rnacentral:lncRNA from 1 species
GCGUCGCUCACGCUGGGAGCUGUAGACCGGAGCUGUUCCUAUUCAGCCAUCUUGGCUCCUCCCCUGACUGAUGUCCUCCUUAUAGGAAUGGGAAAUUCAGAUGCAGACAGGUGCUGAAGACCAUGUGAAGGCACAGGGAGGAGGUGGCCAUCUGCAAGCCAAGGAGAGAAGCCUCAGAAGAAACCAACCCUGCCAACACCGUGACCUCAGACUCCAGCCCCCAGAACUAGCCAUAGUUUGUCUUCCACAACUGGAGGUUUGAAAAGAAGGAUGAGGACACUGAAUCUCAGAGACGUCAAGUUCUUUCAUCGAGAUUCCAUAGAAUGUUCCCUGUUUCUUCAUCUAUGACAUGGGGAUAAUGUGAGUAUACCUACAUCAGAGGGCUGCGAUGAAGACUAAAUAAGCCCACAGAUGGAUAUUCUUUGUUCUUAUCAACCUCCUCAUCAAAUACUUCAACCACUGACUGCCAGGCUGGCCUGUGCUGAGCAGAGGAGAUUAAAAGGAUUAUCCAGGCUUCUGGUUGAUAUUAGUUCUUCAGGGAGGCGAUGGAAUAUAGAUAAAUGACACGGAGCUUGCUGGAAUUCCAUCUCUGUCACUUGCAAACUGUGUGAUUCUGG